GGCCUCAUAGCUCAGUGGUUAGAGCACUGGUUUAGGAAACCAGGGGUCGUGAUUUCAAUUGUCACUGAGGCCU